AAAAUUAGCGGAUGACCUGUGGCUGGGGGUGAAAGGCCAAUCAAACCGGGAGAUAGCUGGUUCUCCCCGAAAGCUAUUUAGGUAGCGCCUCGUGAAUUCAUCUCCGGGGGUAGAGCACUGUUUCGGCUAGGGGGCCAUCCCGGCUUACCAACCCGAUGCAAACUGCGAAUACCGGAGAAUGUUAUCACGGGAGACACACGGCGGGUGCUAACGUCCGUCGUGAAGAGGGAAACAACCCAGACCGCCAGCUAAGGUCCCAAAGUCAUGGUUAAGUGGGAAACGAUGUGGGAAGGCCCAGACAGCCAGGAUGUUGGCUUAGAAGCAGCCAUCAUUUAAAGAAAGCGUAAUAGCUCACUGGUCGAGUCGGCCUGCGCGGAAGAUGUAACGGGGCUAAACCAUGCACCGAAGCUGCGGCAGCGAACGUAUCACCCAAGACAACUUUACGGAGUUGACGAUUGACGGAGCGAAGCGACGUCAAAGCGUUCAUUAAAGUCGAGUUGGCUUAGGGAUACGUUCGUUGGGUAGGGGAGCGUUCUGUAAGCCUGUGAAGGUGGCCUGUGAGGGUUGCUGGAGGUAUCAGAAGUGCGAAUGCUGACAUAAGU
rnacentral:rRNA from 1 species